rnacentral:lncRNA from 1 species
GUAGGUGCAUUUAUAUAUCUAACAUAGUGGGUGAGGAGUGUAGUACACAAAAUUGAUGUACAUUUGCCUAUCAUAAAUAUGCUGGCCAAGAGAGAACUAAGGUAAAUAUAUCCCCAACAUCCAUCAGUCUCUGAAUUGAGGGCUGAGGGACACUAGUUAAUUCCUGAGCAUUCCCAUUCUCAUGUGCUCAAAAAGAUAUGGCCACCAUCCAAUAAUAAUGUAAACCUGAUGCCAAGAAGUCAUGUUGGCAUGCUUAGAAAUGUUAAAGAGAUGUGAGGAGAAAUAAGAGAAUUAUCAAUCACAUCAGCUAAGUCACCAUGCCUUUGUUCAUGUUAUUCCCCUACAUUCCUCCCUUUCUAAUUUCUAUUGUAUAGGUGCCAUACGCUCUGCAACAGCCUAUUGAAGUACCUUGUUAACCUCAGUCAGGCAUGCUUAUAUGGAAUCCUGCCUCAGUUAUAUUAUUUAUGAAAUCCUUAGACCUACCAAAUGAUGUCAGAUGUAAAACUAAAGUCAGCCAAGUUCAAAUAAGAAGAGAAGGCCAGGAUGACAGAGGCAGCCAGAGAAUGUUAAUAGUCCCCUGGGAAUUGAAAUCAGAAGAGUAGCUAUUUCUAGGAUAAAAGAAGAAUUACCUGAAAAGGAAUAAGAGGGAUUUCUCUGUGAGGAUGAAAUGUCUGAAUCCUAAUUUGGUGUGCUGUUAAUGAAUCGAACUCAGGACCUUGCACCUGUGAGGCAGGUGGUUGAAACCAUUGAGCUAAAUCCCUGACCCUGGAAUUUACAUUUUGAUAGGCUCCUUUUAGUGCUGUACCUGCACUAUAGGUUAUGGAGUGAUCCUCUCCCAACAGAGGUUAUGGAGUGAUCUCGUCUGCAGAGGAGAAGGACAAAAAGGCAGAGGAAUCCCUCAUUUCAAAAGAGAUUAAGGAGUUGUGAAAACAGUAUCAAAUUUUGUAGAAAAGCCGCACUAUCAGAGAACAGAAAGGGAGAACCUCACAUGACUGAAGCCACCACAGAGACAGUUCUUCCCUGGAAAUGGAACCAUCUCCCAGCCAUGAGAAUUUCAGAGCUACAACACCAGGACUCAGAUAAUGAUUAACUUAAUCCAAGCCCAUCAGAUAAUAAGUUGGCUUCCCACCUUUUCAGGUGAGCCAGCCUAAACCUCUGAUCAGUGUGCCUCCCUC